GACGAACGCUGGCGGCGUGCUUAACACAUGCAAGUCGAACGGAAAGGCCCUGCUUUUGUGGGGUGCUCGAGUGGCGAACGGGUGAGUAACACGUGAGUAACCUGCCCUUGACUUUGGGAUAACUUCAGGAAACUGGGGCUAAUACCGGAUAGGAGCUCCUGCUGCAUGGUGGGGGUUGGAAAGUUUCGGCGGUUAGGGAUGGACUCGCGGCUUAUCAGCUUGUUGGUGGGGUAGUGGCUUACCAAGGCUUUGACGGGUGGCCGGCCUGAGAGGGUGACCGGCCACAUUGGGACUGAGAUACGGCCCAGACUCCUACGGGAGGCAGCAGUGGGGAAUAUUGCACAAUGGGCGGAAGCCUGAUGCAGCAACGCCGCGUGCGGGAUGACGGCCUUCGGGUUGUAAACCGCUUUCGCCUGUGACGAAGCGUGAGUGACGGUAAUGGGUAAAGAAGCACCGGCUAACUACGUG
rnacentral:rRNA from 1 species